rnacentral:tRNA from 1 species
GCCUAAAUAGCUCAGUUGGUUAGAGCGGCGUUCUUGUAAAACGCAGGUCGUAGGUUCGAUUCCUACUCUAGGCUCGA